AAAACAAUACAAAUAAGGUACAACCCUAGUUUUGCUUACAAAUUACAAUUUGAAAUUAUAAGCGACAAAACAAAACAUUCUUUUUCAUAAAUCUACCAUUCGCCGCUACCAAAUUUUCUUCUGACUGCUACUUGCUUCCAUUAACAGCAUUGCUGCUGCUGCCGACCUCCUCUACACCGCCAAUUCUGCUUCCGACUUCCUUUACACUCGUCAACUGCAAUCCUGCACCAUAUUUGGCGUUUUUCUCAUCUGAAUUUCACUCUUUGGAUUUAGAUUUCAGAUGUUGAAAGGAUUUAUCCCUGACAAUGAUCAGAAGAGAGAUAAGGCAUCAUUCUUGUUGGAGGUCGAGUAUAUUCAUUAUUUACAGGAAAAGGUUAUCAAAUUAAAGCUUGUGAAUGAUUGAAUUUCAAAACGGAGGUAGAGUAAAUAAAAUGAACUCAACUAUUGAACAAGAUCAAGGAUUCAAGUUAAAUAUAAGUGAGCAUUGCUAAUCUUUUGAAUUGUUUCUAAGAAUAUACAAGUAUACUCUAAUUGAUUUGAUUUAUUUGGUACUAGUUAAUAAGUUUAUGCCUUUUUAAUCUAGUAUGUAUGUAUGUAUAGCGUAGAGGAGGAAAAGUUAAUUGCGGUUUCUUAGGCUUAAUUAUAUAUGAAGAUGUAGUGAUGAUCAUGGAUGAAGGAAUAUGUUUUUGCUAGUUUCUGCAUUAGAUUUGGGUUUACUUUAAAAUGUAAUGAAUAUUUACUGUUUCUCACUAAUUGUCUGGGGGAUUUUACCCGGAGAAUUGUCUUAGAUUGUGGUAGUAAUGGCAGGAUCUUCUCUGAAUUUAACGCCUAUGAAAUUUAAGACAUGCGUGCUCAUUUCCACCUUUUCUAGCUUAGCUUCUUCUCUGGAUUUAACGCCUAAUGCCAGGAUAUAAAUUAAAGCUUAACUUAGUUUUACUUAGCUUGUCUCCAACAUAAACCCAAAAAGGUUUAGAUCACACUGUAUUCGACAUUACUGCCAUUUAUUAGUUCCUAGUAGUGUGAUUGAUUUUUACCGUUUCUCACCAUGCAUUUGUACUGUUCCUGAGUAGUUUAGUUCCGAGAAAAAGUGGUUAUGAACAUGAGUUUCAUUGUAUUUUGGGAAAUUAGUUGGUGGUGUGGGAAAGAAUCAAGGUGGUCUUUUAUUGUAUUGAGUUUAUUUGCAGGUACAUGAGUUUAAAAAGUUUUGGAUUAUUCAUUUUACAAACGAAAUUUUGCCAAGUAUAAAUUAGAAUUUUUUUUAAAAAAAUAAAUAUUUUGUAAUGCAUGAAGAAAAAAAUUGAAUUGUACAUGUGGAUGAGAAUAAAAUGAAAAAUAAUUAUUAUAUGGAUGAAAUUAGAACGAAAAAAAUUAAAUUGCGUGGAUGAAAUUAAAAGAAUUUUUAAUAGAUAUAUUUCUGAAAACAUAAAUUAUGCAAAAUGGAGAGGAGAAUCCAAAAUACAAAACGAAGCUAAAUUAUCUCUUUUUAAAUUUAAGCUUUAUUAUAAUUCCUCGAUAACAACUUUGAAUGUUUAUAGCAGUGAUGUUCCUAGCGUUGUACGGGUUCUAGGCAAACUAAAAGAAGUGGACCCUCUCUGUGGAGGGUCUAUUCUGAACUUAAAAAGAUAUUUGGAAAAAUAACAAAGAUGGACCCUAUAUAUAUUAAUUAGCAUUAGAAAUAUAGAUAUAUCAUAUAAUUGUUAAAAUGAUAAAAGAACUACUUAUAAAUUGUAAAUUUCUAAGUGUACUUUCAUUAACUAGCAUUUAGGGUUCUUUCUGACUUUGUGUCCGAGGCAAAUAUAUACCUUGUCUAUGGUUAGAAACGUCCCAGAUUUAUAGAUUAUACAUACAUAAGUACACAUACAUACACCAACAGCAAAUUAUAGAAAACCACAAAAAUUUCAAAUCUCACAAGUCACGAUCUUACAAACAUUGAUUGAAACUAAUAAAGGUAAACACUAAAAUGAGCAAUAGUAUUAACCCCAUCAGUUGUAUGAUAACAAUAGCUUAGAAACACAUUAAUCUUAGCGAGACUUCUAGAAAUCAGUCAACAAAGGCUCUUCACCUACUCAUGCGUUGAUGCUAACCACUCUUUUUUUAAUAUCAAGCAAUCAAUAAUUAAAACAUUUAUUAAAAAAAAAGCUGUCAAAAGUCAAGUGAUAAAUUUCUAGAGUAAUGUGUAAUUAAAUUUAAACUAAUUGAAUUAAAUAGCUGAUCAUUUUAUAUUAAUCAAAGAUUUGACGAGUUAUAGAAUUAUUUCAACUAAUCAAACACUCUGAUCUAUAAAUUGACUAAGAGAAAAAACGAUAAAUUAACAAUCAUUAAAACAUUUUUAAAAAGUUGUGAAAAGCCAAGAAUCAAAUUUCUAGAGCACU